rnacentral:rRNA from 1 species
UAUGAUAAUUUUAAAUGGCCGCGGUAUUCUGACCGUGCGAAGGUAGCAUAAUCAUUAGUCUUUUAAUUGAAGGCUGGUAUGAAUGGCUGGACGAGAAAAUUUCUGUCUCUAUUAUGAAUUUUGAAUUUUAUUUUUAAGUGAAAAAGCUUAAAUUUUUUUGAGGGACGAUAAGACCCUAUGGAUCUUUAUAAUAAUAAAUAGUAAAAAGUUUGGAAGUUACGGCUUAUUAUUUUAUGUUAUUUGGUUGGGGCGACUGGAAGAAAAAAUUAUCUCUUUUUAUAUUAAAAUAAUUAUAAUUAGAAAUUAAAUGACCCUUAAUUUUGGUUUAAAAGACUAAGUUACCCUAGGGAUAACAGCGUAAUCUUUUUGGAGAGUUCAUAUCGAUGAAAAGGUUUGCGACCUCGAUGUUGGAUUAAGAGAUCCUUAUGGCGUAGCCGUUGUAAAGGAAAGUCUGUUCGACUUUUAAAUUCUU